UACGUAGGUCCCGAGCGUUGUCCGGAUUUACUGGGCGUAAAGCGAGCGCAGGUGGUUUAUUAAGUCUGGUGUAAAAGGCAGUGGCUCAACCAUUGUAUGCAUUGGAAACUGGUAGACUUGAGUGCAGGAGAGGAGAGUGGAAUUCCAUGUGUAGCGGUGAAAUGCGUAGAUAUAUGGAGGAACACCGGUGGCGAAAGCGGCUCUCUGGCCUGUAACUGACACUGAGGCUCGAAAGCGUGGGGAGCAAAUAGG
rnacentral:rRNA from 1 species